rnacentral:rRNA from 1 species
AUUUGACUCAACGCGGGGAAUCUUACCGGGUCCGGACACACUGAGGAUUGACAGACAGUUGUCUUUCCCUCCCUUCGGGGUGGGAUUACAAAAGAUAACAGAUCUUUCAUGAUCAUGUGAUGGGUGGUGCAUGGCCGUUCUUAGUUCGUGGAGUGAUCUGUCUGCUUAAUUGCGUUUCAAAUUUUAUAUUUGUUAACAUGCGAGUCUUCAAUGACGGCCACUCCACCUUAUAGACAUUAUAUGAUAUGCACAUUUGUGUAUUUGAUUAUAACUUGUCUGGAGUCUGGCUCGAUUUUUUUGACUCAAUUGAACGCAACGGACGUGAUUGCAAGUCCUUGUUGAACAAAUUAUAUAUAUACUACUUCAUCAUUAGUAUAUAUAGUUCGCUUCUCAUGUCGUAGCAGUCAAACGGGCGGGCGUCUUAAUUGGCGCGGUCACGAGGCUUAAUAUGCUGCGGCUGGGAAAACUUGGGCGACCGCUGUAAUACUUCUCUCUUAAACCAGAGGAAGAUUGCGGCAAUAACAGG